UACGAAGGGGGCUAGCGUUGUUCGGAUUUACUGGGCGUAAAGCGCACGUAGGCGGAUUGGUCAGUUAGAGGUGAAAUCCCUCGGCUUAACCGAGGAACUGCCCUCCAAACUGUUUGGCUUGAGACCGGGAGAGGUGAGUGGAAUUCCCAGUGUAGCGGUGAAAUGCGUAGAUAUUGGGAGGAACACCAGUGGCGAAGGCGGCUCGCUGGAACGGUACUGACGCUGAGGCGCGAAAGCGUGGGGAGCGAACAGG
rnacentral:rRNA from 1 species